GACGAACGCUGGCGGCGUGCUUAACACAUGCAAGUCGAACGGAAAUUCUCUGCUUUUGUGGGUUGCUCGAGUGGCGAACGGGUGAGUAACACGUGCGUAACCUGCCCUUGACUUUGGGAUAACUUCAGGUAACUAAGGCUAAUACCUGAUAGGAGCUCCUGCUUCAUGGUUGGGGUUGGAUAGUUUCGUCGGUAUGGGAUGGGCUGGGGGGUUAUUUGCUUGUUAGUGGGUUAGUGGCUUACCAAGGCUUUGACGGGUAGCCGGCCUUGGAAGGGGCACGGCGACAAGGGGACUAAGAGACGGCGCAGAAGCGUACGGGAGGCAACAGGCGGAAGUAUGGCACAAUGAGCGGGAGUGAGAUGAAGAGAAGUCGCGUGCGGGAAGACGUGCUGUGGGUUGAGAACCGCUAUCGCCUGAGAAGAAGCGUGAGUGACGGUAACGGAUAAAGAAGCAACGGCUAACUACGUG
rnacentral:rRNA from 1 species